rnacentral:rRNA from 1 species
UACGUAGGGGGCGAGCGUUGUCCGGAAUUACUGGGCGUAAAGGGUGCGUAGGCGGUUUGGUAAGUUAGAUGUGAAAUCCCCGGGCUUAACUCGGGAGUUGCAUUUAAAACUGCUGAACUAGAGUGCAGGAGAGGAAAGCGGAAUUCCUAGUGUAGCGGUGAAAUGCGUAGAUAUUAGGAGGAACACCAGUGGCGAAGGCGGCUUUCUGGACUGUAACUGACGCUGAGGCACGAAAGCGUGGGGAGCGAAC